UAUAAACUCCCCCUUCAAUUUUAAGUGAAGUGUUUAUCAGGUGGGAAAAUCUCUCCAAAAAGGAUAAAAAUAUCAGAGACAGCCAGACAAUAUUUGGUUCACUAGAGAAAAAUAUCAGUUUCUUACAGGGAGUAGAGGAAGCAGCAGAAACUGUACAUAACCAGAAAACAAAAGCAUAAUUGUUAAUGUUAUUUGAAAUCCACGAAUGCCUUAUUUGGUGCUCUCACCUGAGAUGGAAGACCAUCAGCUUUUUCUAAAUGAGCGUGCUGAUAUUUUCCAGUAAUUCUCAGUUUUAAAGCAGUGACAGGAUUUCAAAGGAAGAAAGACAAAAACAAUUUUCUGUUGAGAAAUACAGUCCAUAAUUCAGAAGACACUGAGGAUGCAGAAAAAGAGUGACAACAGGCCAAGUGUAAAUUGUCAGUGUUCUGCUCUCCAGAUCCUCAAGGUGAUGCUGGAAACUGAAGAGCGUGGAGGAAAAAAGAACAAAAAAAAGUGGUUUGCAAGGAAGACUGCAAAGUUUGCAAGAUUUCCCUGAAGACUUCAAUCAGUUUGACUUAUAAAAUACAUGUCAAUGAGGCAACUUUCCAUGUUUAUUCAUAGCUUAGAAAUAUUUGGGAAAAAAAACCAAAACAAAACAACAAAAAGACCAAAACCUGACAUCAAGGAGAAGACGCAAUCCGUUGUGAGACCUGAAGCCAAAUAUGCAAAGGAAAAAAAUGUUGAAGAAUAUUCAUAGGACUAAUAUUGAGCAAUACAACAUACUGUUGAAGGAAAUAUGGCCUCAUGGUCUCAUAUCAAGGAUGCAUGUCUUUCCAGAAAAUGUGUUUCAGUCAAGCAGAACUCAGUAAGGGUAAAAACAAGGGUGUCUGUUUUAAAUUCAGUGACCUAUGCUCUACAAGAAAUCCAGUUGUAUUUAUCUCUUACAUAUAAGCAAAAUUACAAUAAAGAGUGAAGCAUGAAUUUUA